CCUACGGGUGGCAGCAGUGAGGAAUAUUGGUCAAUGGGCGAGAGCCUGAACCAGCCAAGUCGCGUGAGGGAGUACUGCCCUAUGGGUUGUAAACCUCUUUUGUCGGGGAGCAAAAGCCGGACGUGUCCGGCUGUGAGAGUACCCGAAGAAAAAGCAUCGGCUAACUCCGUGCCAGCAGCCGCGGUAAUACGGAGGAUGUGAGCGUUAUCCGGAUUUAUUGGGUUUAAAGGGUGCGCAGGCGGAUUUUUAAGUCAGCGGUAAAAUCGUGGGGCUCAACCCCAUCCAGCCGUUGAAACUGGGGAUCUAGAGUGUGCGAGAGGUAUGCGGAAUGCGUGGUGUAGCGGUGAAAUGCAUAGAUAUCACGCAGAACCCCGAUUGCGAAGGCAGCAUACCGGUGCACAACUGACGCUCAGGCACGAAAGCGUGGGUAUCGAACAGGAUUAGAUACCCGGGUAGUC
rnacentral:rRNA from 1 species